UAGGGAAUCUUCGGCAAUGGACGAAAGUCUGACCGAGCAACGCCGCGUGAGUGAAGAAGGUUUUCGGAUUGUAAAACUCUGUUGUUAGAGAAGAACAAGGACGUUAGUAACUGAACGUCCCCUGACGGUAUCUAACCAGAAAGCCACGGCUAACUACGUGCCAGCAGCCGCGGUAAUACGUAGGUGGCAAGCGUUGUCCGGAGUUAUUGGGCGUAAAGCGAGCGCAGGCGGUUUCUUAAGUCUGAUGUGAAAGCCCCCGGCUCAACCGGGGAGGGUCAUUGGAAACUGGGAGACUUGAGUGCAGAAGAGGAGAGUGGAAUUCCAUGUGUAGCGGUGAAAUGCGUAGAUAUAUGGAGGAACACCAGUGGCGAAGGCGGCUCUCUGGUCUGUAACUGACGCUGAGGCUCGAAAGCGUGGGGAGCAAACAGG
rnacentral:rRNA from 1 species